GAUGAACGCUAGCGGCGGGCUUAAUACAUGCAAGUCGAACGGUAAGUUUGGUAGCAAUAUCAAACCAAGAGUGACGUACGGGUGCGUAACACGUAUGCAACCUACCUUGUACAGGAGUAUAGCUCGGGGAAACUCGAAUUAACCCUCCAUGAGAUCAUAGAAUGGCAUCAUUUAGUGAUUAAAACUCAGGUGGUACAAGAUGGGCAUGCGUCUGAUUAGUUAGNGGCGGGGUAAUGGCCCACCAAGACGAUGAUCAGUAGGGGACCUGAGAGGGUGAUCCCC
rnacentral:rRNA from 1 species